AUUGAACGCUGGCGGCAUGCCUUACACAUGCAAGUCGAACGGCAGCGGGGACUUCGGUCCGCCGGCGAGUGGCGAACGGGUGAGUAAUGUAUCGGAACGUACCAUUGAGUGGGGGAUAACGUAGCGAAAGUUACGCUAAUACCGCAUAUUCUCUCCGGAGGAAAGCAGGGGACCGCAAGGCCUUGCGCUCUUUGAGCGGCCGAUAUCAGAUCAGCUAGUUGGUGAGGUAAAGGCUCACCAAGGCGACAAUCUGUAGCGGGUCUGAGAGGAUGAUCCGCCACACUGGAACUGAGACACGGUCCAGACUCCUACGGGAGGCAGCAGUGGGGAAUUUUGGACAAUGGGGGCAACCCUGAUCCAGCCAUGCCGCGUGAGUGAAGAAGGCCUUCGGGUUGUAAAGCUCUUUCGGCCGGGAAAAAAUCGCAUGGGCUAAUACCCCGUGUGGAUGAUGGUACCGGAAUAAGAAGCACCGGCUAACUACGUGCCAGCAGCCGCAGUAA
rnacentral:rRNA from 1 species